CUUGCACUGCAUUUUCUCAUUAGGUUUUGACAGAGUUAAAUUAUACCCAGUGUUGGUCGUUCAGGUGGAAUAAUGGUGGCCUGGAACACUGAAAAAAGCCAUAUUCAGAUCUUGGAAGAAGAUAGGCAAUUUUUUCAUCUCCGCUGCUGCCUUAAUGGAGCGCCAUCAUUCUUUAUCAUAGCUGGGUAUGCUCUCUCCCAUUCUGGGUUUGGGGAAAUUCUCUGGAACAAAUUAUUGGAACUCUUAAAAAAAAAUUUUGAACUUUGGAUUGUCUAUGGAGAUUUUAAUGAUAUAGCAUAUUCAUCGGAGAGGAUUGGAGGCAAGUUUGGAAAUAAGCCUCACAUCGACUGGUUCAACGCUAGAAUAAAUGAAUGCAAGCUUAUUGAUUUGGGCUUCGAAGGAUCCAAAUUCACAUGGAAAGGACUUCGACUUCCUGGUUGUGGUCGUCUUCUUGGGAGAUUAGAUCGAGCGAUAGCUAACACCGCCUUCUUAUCAUCCUUUCCAAAUUGCUCUGUUAAGGAUGGAAAAAGACCCAAUGUAGAUGCUUUCUCACUUCAAAAGUUUGAAUAUUGGAGAUCUUCUCAAGGAGUUGGCUUUCUUUGAAGGAGAAAGAAGCUCAGUCAAUUCCUUCGUUGACGAAGAACGUUAAUUACCAAGAGAUAAAGAGAGAAGACACUGAAAGGUCAGAGACACGAGUUGAGGGAAAGAAGUGCCAUACUUAAAACAUAAAUGGUCAACAUUGGCAGAAUAGUUUGUUGAAAAUGAAAAUAUUCCUGUCCUUUUUUUUUUUGUCAUGUUUAUUCAUGCAAUUGUUCUCUUCAUGUUAAUCCAUGCUGUUAUUUUCUUUUUUGUUUGUUUUUUAGAUUUUGCUUUGCAUAUUCCAUCUCUUUUAUGAGUUGUUUGUGGUAGAGCUCCUUGACUGUUCUCAUGAAAAUUAAAAUGAGCAACAUGGCAACUAGUGAUAUGAAAUUCAGACCGGAUCAAACGGUCUGACCAGCUUGGCCACCACCCACUAAAUAAAAUGACUUAAUCUAAUUAAUUAAAUCAAUUUGAUAACUGAAUUGGAUUGAUUCGAAUUGAACCGUCAAAUUUUAAGAGAAUUUUAAAAGAAUCGAAUUUAACCUGAAACUUAAAGCGGUUUAAUCCCGAUCAAACUUAAAAUAGGAAAAAUGGGGCUUUCAUUUUUCACUUCACGCCUUCACGCUCACGGUCUCACCUCGUGGUCUGAGAGUCACGCUUAUGUCUCUCACCGUCGCGGAUUCACCUCCCCCACUCUCGCCUCUCGCCUCUCGCCAUUCUCAUCUCCCUCAACUCUCAAUCCUUGAUUCUCUCCUCCAGUCUCGCUUGAACUCUGUCUGAUUCUGGUGCCCCAGCUCCAGCAUUUCGCGUCGCAGGCGGGAAGGGAAGACAGCUCCAGAGUCCAAAGCUUCACGUCGCUGUCGAGAUCGUGAGGUCGUGUCUCUGCAUCCAGUCGAGUUGCUUGCCCUCCAGCUCCACCCAGCUCCAGAGUCUAGAGCUUCGCGUCGCCGUCGAGAUCGCGAGCUUGUUCCUCUGCCUUUGCCUCCAGUCGAGUUGCCUCCAGCUCCACCUAGCUCCAGCUCGCUGUCGAGAUUUGCUCGGUUCAGUGCUCACUCAGCCUUUUUCACCGUGAGUCGUGCUCUGCUCUAAAAAUCUCCAAAAUAUCACCGAGGGUAAAGUCUUAAAUCCAAUUUUCUCCAGGCUUCAAUUUUCUAUGUAUUUGACUCUGCUCUCCUAAAUUCUGAAUUCAGGAAGCUUGAGCUUAGAAAUCGAUGAAUAAAUAAAAUUGCAGCCACAUAGAUUAAUUAGUUUCUAUUUUUGAAUCCACGCCUAUUCACUUUGGCAAACAUAGUUGUGAUGUACUGAUGUAUAUAAUGGACAGUUAUGGACAACAAAAAGAAAGCAGUCUAUAUGCACUAUUCGUUCAGCCAUUUAUCUAUGCAUUCUUGUUUGCUUUAUCUUCCCUUGCUUUAAAGUAUUUGUUGAUUGUUGAUUAAGUACAAUCCUGCACGAAAUGCUGACUGGAAUUCUUUGUAGUCUCCCUUCCCACACAUGCAUGUCAAUCUGCAGCAAUUUUAUUGUGGAGAAUUUGAUCUAGAUAUGAGAAUUAAAACUGAUGUUAUGGAUUUGUUAACUUUGCAAUGAUAUGUUAGUUUGUUGACAUUUUUAUGUAUUUUGGAUUUGUGGUGUUGUUGUUUGGGCAAUUAGAACAUAUUAUGCAAUGUGCAUUUGUGGUGUUGCUUGAUAUAUUAUUUUUUUUGACAAAUAAAUGUUUUAUUUAUAUAUAUGUGUAUAUAAAUAUUGUUUUUAUUUAAUUUUUAUAUCACCGCGGUCAAACCAGUUGAACCAUGAGAACCAUGACCCGUUACUCUUUUCGAUUCAACAUUUGGUUUGGGUUUCACAACGUUGAUAGCAACAGUGAUCUUGUCUAUUGCUUAGCCUAGAUGAUGUGAUAUGUCCUGUUUAUGGUUCUGUCAAGUGCUCUUCAAUCACAAUAGGAAGAGCCUCUACACAAGGUAACAAUGAAUAGUCAGGAUUUUGUUGAGACAAGUAUAUAUGUACUUCGUGUGACCCUAACACAAUUAGUUCCUAAUAGUUCAUCAUAGUGUUACAAGUAUGACCAUUGGACCAACAAGAACUUGGGCCCUAGUGGAGAUAUGAGUCUCUUGAUUUGCAUCUAGCAACUGUCUAAGCUGAGUGGAUUAGAUCAUGGCCACACUCACAUGUCAAAGUAUAAUAUUUUUUCUUUUAAAUCUAAACAAUGAAAACUCGAUUGUCAAAACUCCACCCUUGUAAUUUUUGUUGGCCUAAAGAAAAACCCAUGUAGUUUGUGAAAUGACAAGUCACAGAGUUAAAAACCCUCACCAUAUAGGUUAGAAUUUCAAUGGAGCUCAAUGUUGAUGCAAUGAAAACUCGAUUGUCAAAAUUUGAUUUGGAUAGUUUGGGUUUAAAAUUUUAUUUUACAUUUUUAAAAUAAUAAAUUUAUUUUUAAUAGAGUUUCAGAAUAUUAUCUUUUUUAAAAAGAAAAUCGGUUAGAAUAUUAUCUUUAUUUUAGAGUUUAGAUUAUGAGUCUAUCAAGAUAAAACUAUCAAAAAUAUAUGACUAAAUAGGGGUUUUUGCAGAUAUAGCUUAUAUUAUUGGACCAAACCACACUAACAACCUACCAUUUAUUAUAUUUUGCAUUAUGAUCAUUUUAUUAUAUUUGUCAAUGAUAUACCAUUGUAUAUCAAUGAUAAACCCAUGGUAAAUUUUUAAAUUUUCAAUAAUAAACUUUUUAUAUAUUAAUAUGAACCGGCUAUAUUUUGAAAUUUUAAAAAAUUUGGUCCAUAUUUUCAGGGUACAAUAUUUUUCUCGACUAGUGAGCCAAUUUAUCCAUCUAAAAUAAUAUUAAACUUAGCUAUUGGUGGGAAAAAUAAUCUCAAAUUUGAACCAUCCAAUUUUAUAAUUGAAAUUUGUCCUAAUUAAAUGUUCAACUUAAUUUUCCAUCAGGAUUCAGUUUUCAAUUUCCGUGCUUAAGGCCAGCCGAAACUACAGAAUUAGCUUCCAUAUGCUUAUACCUUUAAUGAUUAUCUUUUUUUUUUUUUGGGUAAGUAUAAAGAGAAGAUUAUGCUAAUAACAGAAAAUAUCUUCCCCACUUGCUUAAGUGAAGAGCUUCUACUAUGGCAUGUUAUGAUUGAAUUGUCAUCAAACCUGUAAUAAUUAAUUUAAAAUUUUUUUAAUUGGGUUAAUAUGUAAUUUAGACCUUGCACUAUAAGUUUAGAGGCAAUUUGAAACCUAAACUCUUAUUUGAACUCUAAAUAAUUAAACUUGAGGCAAUUAUCCUACCGUUAAAUUAAAAUAAAUGUCCAUUCCUUUUUUAAAAAAAAAAAAAAACAUAGAGAGCCAAAGGUACAAUUUUUCCCAAAUAUCAUUCUCCUCCUCUCUCCUACCCUCCUUUGAGGGAAAUCCUAGAGGAAGGCACAGGGGCUCUGCUAGGGUUUAUAUUGGAGGCUGCUUUGAGCUUGUUCAAAGGUGCUAAUCUCUUGGGUAAGCUUCUUCUUCAUGUCUUCUCCCUCUACUUUACGUUUUAUUUCCUUCAUGUCUCCUGUAGAAGGAGAUGUUGUCCAAACCUAGGACCAAUUUUUUGCCACUCUAAUGACUUCAAUUAAGUCUAAUAAGAGUUGCUUAUGUUUCUUACCUCUAGUUUGAGUGGUUGGCAGCAUUAAAUAUUAUUAAUGAGAGGUUUAAGGUUAAUUUUAAUGUUAAAUAAUAUAGUUUAAGCUGAUGAGAUUAGCUAGUACUGUUCAUUAGGGUUAAUGGGAGUUAAAUAAGUUACAUGGUUAGUUAUUUAUUAAAUCGCAGUUCAAGUCAAUCAAUAUUACGAGGCUCUAGCAGACUUAUUUGACUAUAUGAGUUGUUCAUUGAGGCUGCUUCGUGUGUGUGAAAAAUCUACUACCUUCCAAAAUAUUUGUUCCCAAGGUGAAGUUCUCGCUAAAAGGUAACUGAAACUUUUGCUGCUAUUUUAGUUUUAUUUAUCUUCUGCUUUUUCUGGUAAAAAAAAAAAAAAAUCUUCUGCUUUGUUUUAUUUAUCAAUGUCCCUGAGAUAACUAAUGGAUCCGUUGAAAUGUUUGGGUUUUAUCCUUUCUUGAAUUUCUCACUUUCGUUGGAUGGAAUUGUGUUCCACUGCUAUUUUCCCUUUGCAAAAAAUUCUCGUACACAGAUCUUGCGCAGAUAAAGUAUAUACUUCCUGAAUCCAUGCAUAUAGGGAAGGUAUUAGUACACGACAACAGAAGCUUGUGUAUGAAGUCUGAUUUGAAGGUUACAUUGGUAUAUGAGGCUGUACUAGGACACUCGAGUGAAGAUACUUACGUGGCUCUCCAGCAACUUUUUAGUUCAAAGCAACUUGAGUUCUUCAAUACGCAUCCAGAUGUAUUACUCCAAUAUUGUGUUUUAUUUUAUUGUAUUUGUUUCUAAAGCUAUUAUGACAACCUUAGCAAUAGUUUGUGAAAGGAAAAGGGAUUAAGGGAAGUCUUUACUAUAUUUUAACCAAAUGGAGCGUAAAUUUUAAAUAUAAACCUAGAGAGUUAUGUUCCUUCUGUUUUACCAAAACUAUAAUAGCUCUUCUGGUACGUAUGUUAUCUUUCUCUAUUGUUUUGGGUGUGAUUUCCAUCUGCUAUGUUUAUGAUUCAAAAUAAGUGAAUCAAUAUUUUUUGAUAUUUUUCUUUACUUCUUUUGUGAAUGAGAAUAUUGAUAUUCCAGAAGCUACACUACCAGAACCUUCCCAACAACGAACUCAUAGCUUGAUUUAUGAAGAUUUGCCUGUAGAUCCUUCAACAGUACUCUCAUCAACAACUUCUGAUCAAAAUCAACAGCUACAGGAAUGUUAGCCAUAUCCUUUUAAAAGCAUUUCUCAAAGAAUAAUGUUGUGGCAGAGAUAGAAAAUAAUGUUGUAGCAAGUCAAAUUUCUCAAUCACAUCAUUUGUCUGAUUGCAUGGAUAAUGGAGGUGGCGAAGGUGACUGUGAAGGGCAGAAAAAAUGUACUACUUCAUGUUUGAAAUCUGACAGCACUAGUAAUCAGGAUAUGGAAAAGGGACAACAGAAUGAAUCGUGUUCUAUGGGAUUCCAAUCAAGCAUUGUUAAUACACCAGCACGUCUGAUUUGCUCUCCAUAGUCUGUUACUUAUGGUAGCUAUGAAAGCCCUUAUCUCAAGAUUGCCUCAUCCACAGAUAUCUUAAUCACAGAUACCUGCUUAGUCAACAUCUAGAAGAUUGGUGCCCAAUUCUGAUGUUAAACUUAAGAUUAUGAUCGCCCAGAAUUCAAUUUCAUGCAAUAAGCAAGUAAAAAGAGUUCUUUUUUCUCAAGAAGGUGAUUAUGAUGCUGACAAAUUAGAAUCAAGUGGAGAUGCUUGUGAUAACAUCCCUGAAGCUAGUCAAGGAUGCACCGAGGAUUUUAAUGUUUCUAAUUCUGUUGUUCUAUCCAAUAAGGUGGCAGAGUGCCUUGGCUGUUCCAAUGAAAAUGCAAAUCAGACUCAAGGUGGUUCAACAACCUGGCAGCAGAUUCCUUCAUCGUUGCAUAGCCUUGUUGAUGUGAUAUAUUCUAUAUUUUGUUCUAUCAAAUGCUCUCCAAUCACAAAAGAGGAGCUCCUGCACAAGAUAAUAAUGAAUAGUUUAGAUUUUGUUGAGAUGAAUAUGUAUUGAAUGUGACUGUAAAACAAGUAGUUUCUAAUUGCGUUUCAGUGUCUUAACUAUAAGUGACUAACAUGGUCUUCUCUACAGGAGAAGCUGAAGAACAGAUUAAUUUUCUUGGAAAGGUAGUGCCAGAUUGGAUCUACAGGAAGUUAGGCCCUAGUGGAGGUAUCAUGUGCUGGUGGGUCUAAUUUGCAUCUACCAAACAUGGAAGCCGGGUGGACUAAAUCAUUAUCAGAUGCCAAAUUAUUAUGUUUCUUAACUUUGUGAAUUUUUUUAUCUAUGAAAUUCAGUUUUGAUUGCAUAAAAUGGGUGUUGUUUUUGUUUAUUCUCAUGCAUACAAAUUAUUGUUCGAUAGUAGUGACAGGACAUGGGGGGUGAAUUUCAUUAGAUUUGCUGUAACAUCCUGAAUCGAAGUUCUUCUGUUUUAAGUUGUAAUAAACUGAAAAUGAAGGCGUUCAUAAGAAAAAUAAUAGGGAAAUGAGAACCUUCCCAAAUUUUUGAUAAUUCAAAUUUCUACGGGAUGCCAUGCCACACAAGAUGGACUACUUGGUCUACACACUUGUACAUGGAUCAGAGUAGCUGUUUUGGACCCAUCCAAUACUUUAGCUUUAGCACAUGAUGAUGAUGAUGAUUAUUAUUAUUAUUAUUUUGAAAAAUUACACUUCUAGACAGUGUCCUGACUCUUGAGGAUUUUGCAGUAUUAAUGAAAUGUCAGAUUUGGAGUCUGUUCGAUCAAGGCUAUCUAGCAAUAGCAUCAAGGCCUAGUGAGUGAGGGCUUCUAUUGGCAUGGCAUGGCUCAUGGUCUCAUGCAAAAUGCAAAAUUGUCGCAGUCAUGGACUUCUGCUAAGUGUUGCAACUUAUGAUGAAUUAUUAUUAUUUAGGUGAAAAGAGGUCAUGAGGAGUGCUAGAGAAUUUGAAAGCACAAGUGAGAAUACUCAACCGAUGUAAUUUUAUAUUGGCCAAAAGGAAAACCCAUGCAAUUUGUCAAAUCA